rnacentral:rRNA from 1 species
UACGGUGGCCAGAGCGCGGAGGUCACACCCGUUCCCAUUCCGCACACGGUCGUUAAGCUCCGCUGCGCCGAUGAUACUGGAGGGGCAACUCUUUGGGAAAGUAGGGCGCCGCCGUAU